rnacentral:rRNA from 1 species
CACGGGGGGAGCAAGCGUUGUUCGGAAUCACUGGGCGUAAAGGGCGUGUAGGCGGUCAGGUAAGUGGGACGUGAAAUGCCUCGGCUCACCCGAGGAGCGGCGUCCCAUACUGCUUGGCUUGAGUACGGGAGAGGAUGUGGGAAUUCCUGGUGUAGCGGUGAAAUGCGUAGAUAUCUGGAGGAACACCGGUGGCGAAGGCGACAUCCUGGACCGGUAUUGACGCUGAGGCGCGAAAGCCAGGGGAGCAAACGGG